GCUUCUGAAACUGUAUUCAGUUGUACUUCCCAAGAGCUUGCUCAGCAAUGCCAACGCAUUAUGGAAUCGAUGGGGAACAGGAAGAAGACAAGGAGGAAGCUUUGGUCACCAUCUUCAUGCUUCCUUUUCCAAGAGGACAGCUGUUAGCAAGAGCCGUACAGUUCCUGUAAAAGUCUGGCCUUUGACGGCUCAGAGAAGACAGUAAUCGUACACGUUGCAUGAAAACAAUACAGAAUGCAUGUGCAAGGAUUCCAU